rnacentral:SRP_RNA from 1 species
GCCAGGCGUGGUGGCGGGCGCCUGUAAUCCCAGCUACUUGGGAGGCUGAGACAGGAGAAUUGCUUGAAACCAGGAGGUGGAGGUUGCAGUGAGCCGAGAUUGCACCACCACACUCCAGCCUGGGCAACAGAGCAAGACUCUGUCUCAA